GUUUUUGUGUGGUUUACAUCAGGUAGACAGUGGGAAAACCACAGAAGCACCAGGGAGGGAAGGAACGAUUCCUGCAUGACAACUCAUCUGCCAGAGUACGAAAUUAUGCUUCUGCUGGGGUCUACUCUCUGGUUUUGGCUUCCUCUCUAUACCUAUCUGUAGAGUGAUGUAACAAAGGUCUCCCUCUGUCUGUCACUGGGCAACUAGGACACUCUCCUGCAACCAAUUGAGGGCAGAGGAGCGAAGACCUAUUUUAUGUUUGGGCCCAUUAAACACCACCCUUAACUUGCUGUUUCCUUUAAACAAUGAUGAGCAGAACUGUUGAAUCCUGUGCUUCAGCAUCAGCACUCUGAAUACACCAAAUAAUUCUGGACAUUCAAGGGACAUAACUAAAUCUCAUCAGUCACCUCUCAGAAUUGGGGAUGCAACAGAAAAAUCAGAGAUAACUGUGUGGAGGCAGUAAAACUGUCAUAUCCAGCUCUACAAGAAACUAAAAUAUUAACCAGACCUGACAAGAAAAGAAAUAGUUUGAGAAAAGGACAUUCUUGAGAAAACCCAGAUGCUGGUAUUUUGUAGGGGAUUUAAUAGAAGAAAACAAACUGAAUAAUGAGCAACUUUAUUCACAAACCCUCCAUUUCAAAGGAUCUCAGAAUGGGAAUGACUCAAGGAGUUACCGGAGUACCACAUCCUGCCUUUCCACAGUGACAAACAUCCAUUAAGGAUCUUCCAGGAAGAAGAGUGGCCUCCCUCAGGUGACACCAUCAUGAAGCACUGCAGAGAACUCUCUACAGGUGGGAGAACACAUGAAAACCUUUGCAAACGGCAGCAGAGUGGUUGUCCUCCCCAAGUCUCUGCAAAUUGCUGUAGCAAGGAUGAGACAGAGGCUCAUUUGGACACCCACUGCGUAUAAUGUCCUUCUCUGCUACAGUCACCUAGUUAAGAAAAUGAAAUGGAACAUGGUGAGCUUGUGCUGUCACAUGUAAUAGCAUAAAGUACCAGGCUAUUUUCAUGAAAACUGGCUUCAGCUAUAUACCUGAAAUAAAUGUAUUUGACAGAAUGAGAGCAAUUUAAAAUGUUUUUUUUUUUAAAAGGCAAUUAUGUUAAAAGCUUCGUGUUUUAUAUUGGACUAUGAGGGUGGCAAUAUUAUUAACUUUAUUUUACCUCAUUACAGAGUUGAGAGAUAGUUUGCUAUUGGAAAGUGAUAUGUUCAGAAUCAAAUAGACACAUAUCUUUCCCCUUAUCACUUUGAUCACUUUAUAUAAAUACAUGUAUAUGUGUAUAUGUAUAUGAUAUGCAUAUAUGUCUUUGUAUGUGAAAAUGAUGUGAAGGCAUAUUUAGUGAUUAAAAUAGAAGUGUGGAAGCCCUGAUGUGGGAUGGUUUUCAUCCAUUUCAUUUUUGGAAGAGAGCCAAUAUAUGUCUUGGAUGCCAAUAUAGUAAAUUGGUCUGUUUUAGCAGGUGUGUGCUCAUCUGUGUGUGGAAUAUAUAAAAAUAAUUGUCCUCAGAUUCAUUAAUAUACAGUGUAUGUGAACAUCCCCCAGAUGUUCACCUCCAAAGCCUGGCUGCAUCCACCCAUGCUUGUUGAAGAAUGGAUGAUGGAAUGUGUAUUAGCUUUUUCCUUGAUUAUGUUUGUCACAAUGUCAAAGUAUUGGCAGCUCUCAUAGGGGAAAUAUUAAUUUACGCUAUAUGUGAUUGUCCUAAUUUUGUUUGCAACAGUCCCAGCCGUGCCAAACUUGUAGAUGCACCUUAUAACCACCACGGUUUUGCAGGCUGCUGAACAUAUUUUCUUUGGUGGAUGGGACAAUUAGCAGUGCACUGCUUUUUCACUUUCAUAGACAUUACUAGGCAACUACUUCUAUUUUUGAAUAAAUGUAAGGAUGUUUACUAUAUUGCCACAAAAAUUAUGUUCCCCUCAAUGAACUCUGAAAUUUUGCUACUGUAUUUAGUGAUUUACUUCAAACAGAAUUAAGGCUGUGAGGGAGAAUGGCUGUCAGUCCAUUAGUGGUAAAACAGAAUGGUUCUUGUCAGACCUUUGGACCGAAUUACAUAAUUCUUUGCCAUUCUUCUACUUGAAAAAGAUACCUUCAAACUGAUAUUAUUGCAUUUUCCAGUAACCGCAGAUCUUGCUGUUUUCAGAGUGUUUGGAACAUAAAAAAAAAAGUCUGUUUCUUGGUCUGUAUAUUCUCUACUAAUCUGCACAGACUGUUUGAAAAUCACAGAUCAGACUUAAAAAUUACUAUAUUUAAGAUGAGGAAAAAAAAAGAAAAAGGAAAGAUCACAUUGGUUUUCAUUUGCCUUGACUCCUUGACUUUAUUUCUAAGGGAAAACUUAUAUGCAAGAACAUCAAGCCCAUCAUUAGAUGCAUAUGCACACACCCACACUUACAGAUUUAUGCAAGCCUACCUAUUUCCCACUGAUGGAGAUUCCAGCUAGACAGCAGGAAGGCUGCCUACAAUCUUGCACAAUUAAGGCCUAAAUCUACAGAAUUAAAUUUGGUCUUGCAGGUGAGUCAAACAACACCAGAGAAUAAAAAAAGUAGCCUGUAC